rnacentral:tRNA from 1 species
GGCUUAUUAGAUUAAUUGGUUAAAUCACAUGCCUGUCACGCAUGAGACAUGGGUUCGAAUCCCAUAUAGGUCG